rnacentral:snRNA from 1 species
AGAUGUGAACGUGAUCUGGCUUCAACAUCUGUCCCUACAGUGAUCAUCAAGAUUCUUAAAGCUGAUCUACUUGGGUAGGCAGGUGUCUUCUUCCUUUUUCAUCUUUCCAUGUGCACUGGACAGGAUGAACUUCCCUGAGAGGAGGACCGUAGUUGGUUGAAGGACGUUCAGAUAUUCAGAUAUGAAUAGCUGUGCAGCCCUAUUAGAAUCUCCAAAGCUCUCAGGAGGACUUCAUACCCAAGUAAAUCUGAGUUAUAUGAGUGAUCACACUUACAAAAUGGAGUUACUGU